CGCACGAAAAAAAAACCCUCCUUUCGAUCCACCCCUGGUGCUGCCCCCAUCUCUCGCUCCGCCGCCGCCGCCGCCCCUGCUUCCCUCCCGCUCAGCCACCUCCACCGCUCCCACCCUUCUUCCCAUUAUCGGAUCCGCUUGCUCGUCAAGGUUACGUGGCGAAGCUCCACGUCCGCGAAGCGCACGUGCUCGUCAAGGAAGCGGCUCCCGGAUCUGAGAUCGCGCGGCCAUGACGGAAAGGGCUCGAGGUGGCCGCCGAAGACCAAGCCGUUCACGCAAGCCCUGGACACGAUCCUCCCGACGCAUGCACUCCUCGCGUCCUCGCGCACCAAGGUUAGGCGGCGGAUCUCCACGUCUGCGACGCGCUCGUGGUCGUCAAGGAAGGGGCUCCCGAUCGAAUCUGCGUUCACGCGGCUUGUGUGCCAUGGCCGCCAUGGCAAUCCAUGGCCGACAAGAGGGGACCCUCGGUCUCCAUCACCCACCCCAGGCCGGUUUCUACAGUAAGGGCUAUGGGGCUGGGCAGGUUAGGCGGAUGGACAGUGUGGGAGCUCCACGACCUGAAGGAGUGGGUGGUGUGAGAGCUGUGGGAGGCCGCCAAGGCCCUCACCGUGCGCCGCGCCGCCGUCAGGACGUACGCUUUGUGGUGGCGCUGGACAGGGACGUCCGCCACCCUUCCUCAAGCCCACCAUGGUCCGCAUCCCCUCCCCACCCCACCUACUCGGUUCUCUCUUUUCCCAUUCUCCCUGUCUGGUUAUAUUGUUUUCUCCCAGGCUAAUUUCAGAAAAGUAGAUCUUAAUUCGGAGCAAAAUCAUGGGCUAUUUGGAGGCCUGUACUUAUUUGGUCGGACAAGCUAUAUGGAUUUGCAGUGAGCUAAUUGAAUUUCUAGAUGUUGCCGAAGGAGUUAAUCUUCAUACAUCUUUUGUGUCCACUGGAAGAAGUAGUAAAUGUCAUCUGUAUUAAUCUUGCCAUAGGAUUUUCAUUCUAAAGAACAUGUGUGGCAGGGGGUUCUUCUCGGCUGCCUCGGAGGCUCGGGCACAACACUACUUUCAUGGACUUUCCCCUCCUGCUCUUUGAGUUGUACUGUAUAUUGUUUACUACUGCUAUGAGCUGGAAAAAUAAUGACAUCUGUGUAUAGAGAUCGGAUUAAUAAUGGUCUCCUUCUGUACUAAUUUUUUGCAACACUGUCCAUCCGCAUUGGGUUCAGUGUUCGUGGCUGUCACAUUAUGAAUCUUUAUGAGACACGAUAGUUUGUUGUUAAAUUUUUAACCUUUUCUAUUUAAGAUAUAUAUAUAUAUAUAUUACAAUCUUCAAUGGGCAGCUCCAGGUUAGAUCUGGAGUGAGGUGAUAGGGGCAGCAAGCAACAAUAGGGAACCAAAAGGAUCUCUUGUAUGAAGAUUCGCAGGUUUUGUUCAGCUCCUGCAGAUUUCGGAAUCAGGAAUUGGCAAUAGCCUAUUACAGUAAUGCUUCCUCUACCCGUCAUUCACUUGACCUGGAGAGAGGUUUCAUGCUCUCCUAUUUGUGAUCUAUGGGAUUUGCCCUUGAUCUAUUCGAUACAACGACUAGAACCACGCUCCAGCCGCCUAUCGCAGGUCCUUUCGCCGCCGCUGAUCUAUUCGCUAUAUCGACGGAAACCACGCCCUGGCCGCCAUCACGGAUCCCUUUGCCGGCGCCGAGAUCCUAGACGUGCCGCCGCCGAGCGCUUGUCGCUCGCCCCUGCCCGUCUCUCCCUCCUCGGCGUUGGCUGCUUCGAGUCCUUCAGACAGUGUGCCCCAGUCGCGCUCCCGGUCCUCCUCUGCUGCGACCUCCUCCUGGGCGCCUCGGCCACGGCUGACCUCUUCUCCUUCGCCGAUCUCCUCGCGUCCGCUGCCGCUGCCCGGGGAGCACGCCGAUCGCAGGUCGUCCUGGAGGUCACGGCUAGGGAGUUCGUCCCCAAGAUGUCGCAGGAGGCUGUGGCGCAGAUGGGCCAAGAGGAGCAGGGGCACCUUGCACUUGCCGGUCCAGCAGCUCGUUAGCGCUGAGAGGAUCUCCAAGUGCAACUUGCAUAACUCCGUCUGGCUACUCGAGCAGGUUCGCCGUUCUUGUUGUUCUUGCGUGUCAAGACUCUUGGCUGCAGACUUGCAGUUCUGCAGAUACACUAUGAUUGCAGCGGGUGUUGGAAGAAAUCAUCCGAUGGUCGUGAGUGACCGAAGGAAGUGCUUUGUAUUUGGUGACUGCUGGGGACGAGUUCACUAAGGAGUGGGACUAAGGUGUCGCCACUCCCCUGCCUUGUUACUAAAGCAACUAAUGUUGUUUGUGGUGCCGACUUCACUAUCUAAUUGUCAUCGGUUGAGGGAUCUUCCGUACUGUAAGGCCUUCCUGAAACUAUUAAACUUAAAGAUUAGCACGUUUUUUUUCUCUUUCAGAUAAAGCAAGCUUUGAUCAUCUUCUCAUGAUAACAACUUUAGAUUAUUAUCUGCUUUGGCUGUAAUUAGUGGGGUUUUUCCUUCGUCAUUUCUUUUAAGAUGUAUUUAGUUCUUCUGUGCUAUUCAGUACAUCAGGACUUCCUCAGUAUGGCCAACUUGGUCAUGGAAGCGAAUCAGGUUGGUUGCUACUAUGUUAACACACGACACCUACUAAAUUUGCCACGCUGGAGGCGGGGAAACCUAGACCUAUGCUAAUUGAUUUAAUUAAUUAUUAUUAUUCGUUAGGCGUCUGAACAGGCAGCUGAGCGUUGGACAUGGCCUUAUGCCUCCGAAUAAUAUGUUCAUACCCCAUAAGUUCUAUGAAAUAUUAAUACAUCCAGUUCAGUACUAUUUUCCAUAUUUUAACUUUACAUACUGUUUUUUUAUUAUCUGCUGUUCAUUAUAAGUACCAGUCAAAAAACUGUUAAUUAUAAGUGCAUAGCAUAGCCCUAUAUUUAUUAUAUUCAGUGACCUUUUUUAUGAAAAUCAUUGCUACGAGUCACCAUUUUAUAUUUGGUGCUCAUACCCUAAACCUUUUGUAUUUGCAAGAUCACUCCUUAAUGCUAAGAGGGGAGAGAUGAUUUUAGGGAUAUUUUUGUCAAAGGAGAACAUUGACAAAAACAUUGAAUACAAGGAGCUUGCAACCAUGAUGGAAUGAAUCUUUGCGUGGCAGCCUGCUUACCGCCCAGAUAGUGAGCCCCUGAGCUCCUAAAGAAAGGACAGUUGAAGGAGAUGAAAGAAGCGAACACAAAGGAUCCUACGCCAAAGAAUGAAGAGGCCGAGGAAGUGAUGGAAGGGGGUGCGUGGAGGACAUGUGCAUGGCGGAAGCUGGCGUGAUGGCUGCGAAGGUCAAAGGAGAGAAGGCUCGCACUAGACUCAUUUUGGAGUCUCUGGACAGGCACAUCGCGCAUCAACCUUGGGUGAUUUAAGUGAGGGUGGUUCUAUAUUUUCCUCCCUCUUAUUUCUGUUAAUGACUAAAGAUAGAUGAUUAGGGAAAUUUUUAUUGAUUGCCAUGGAUUACUGGAAAUUUUCACCGAGGUAAAACAAAGGUGAUAUCUUGAGGAUCUAAUGCUUUGAAUUGUCUAACAACGCGCUUAAUGAUGAUCUCUAUUAUUAAAGAGGGAGCGUGUACGUAGUUGUUCGUUCCCUACUUCACUUUGCUUCCGCCUCCCAUCAUGUAAUUUAUUUGCUGAAAUCUGUAUUCAAUGAUGCUCUUGUGUCUAAUACUUAGCCCUGUUUUUAAUGCAUAGGCUAUCCCAGGAAAUUCUGUGCUCUGAACAUGGGUUUAAAC